UACGGAGGGGGCUAGCGUUGUUCGGAAUUACUGGGCGUAAAGCGCACGUAGGCGGCGAUUUAAGUCAGAGGUGAAAGCCCGGGGCUCAACCCCGGAACAGCCUUUGAGACUGGAUUGCUUGAACAUCGGAGAGGUGAGUGGAAUUCCGAGUGUAGAGGUGAAAUUCGUAGAUAUUCGCAAGAACACCAGUGGCGAAGGCGGCUCACUGGCCCGGUACUGACGCUGAGGUGCGAAAGCGUGGGGAGCAAACAGG
rnacentral:rRNA from 1 species